GAAAAAAUCCUACCGUGGACAGACUUUCCACCGUUUCCACAAAGAGCAGGCACUUCGCCGUGAAUGUAUAAAUCAAAUCAAGAGGGAUCCUGGUCCAUAUUUCAAGAUCAACGCUGAGACCAAGGUUUGCUCUGAGCACUUUGAGAAGCAGUGUUUUGUAAAGACCGCCCGUUGAAUCACAAAGCUUAUAAAGGAUGCUGUGCCAACUUUGUUCGCCUGGACUUAAGAGAGGCCAAAGAGGAGAAUCAUCAUUCGCAGACCGAGUACGGAUUCCAUGGAGGUGGAUGAAAACCAGCCUGAUGAGAACCAACCUGAUGUGAGAAGGGAUGCCUUGAGCACAGAUGUACCUCCUCCACACCCGUACCAUGAUUAUGCUGUUCCACCGCUGACACCAGAGGAACAACUUGAGGCGGCUCGCAAGCACAUCAUUGAGCAAGACAAGUUAAUAGCACAACUCAAAGAUAAAGUGUUCAGUGUGUCAAGAUUCCAGUGUGAUGAUAGUCCGAUGUCAUUUUACACAGGAUUCCCAGACUAUGCCACCUUUAAAGCUGUAUAUAUGGCUCUACAGCCCACAGCCACAAGCAUGGUAGGAUGGAGUCAGGCUCAAAGGCUUAGACAAACAGAGGUACAGGUCAUUAGACAGGCAUUUAAUAUCUCCAAACUAGCAACUAUGGACCAGUUCUUUCUCUGUUGCCUCAGACAGGGGUUUGCUGAGCAGGACCUUGCGGUGCGCUUUGGUGUGUCACAGUCAACUGUGAGCAGAAUCUGUCACCUGGGCUAACUAUCGAUACUUCAUGUUAGGAUCUCUCCCCAUUUGGCCUUCAAAAGCCACAGUAGAUGAAUGUAUGCCUACUUGUUUUCAAAACACUUACCCAGACACCAGAGUCAUUCUAGACUGUACAGAAAUAUAUGUGCAAAUGCUUAGUUUGAAGGUACUUAACUCCAAAAUCUAUUCCCAUUACAAGGGCAACCCAAAUUUCAAAGGCCUGAUUGGAAUUGCCCCGUCUGGUGAGGUGUCAUUCGUUAGUGACCUGUACACAGGCUUCAUAUCCGAGAAGGAGAUUACAGAAUUGUCCGGCAUCCUAGCAAAAUUUUAUGGCGUCAUACCCAUGACACUAGU